AAGUUUGACCUCAAAUCAGGGAGGGAAUUCCCG
rnacentral:rRNA from 1 species